AUGAGACGACUAGUUGCCUCACAGGAGCUAUUGCUGGUUCUGCUGAUUUCGCAGCAGUGUCUUUCCUGCCUUGCAAUUGCAAAUCCUGCGUUGGAUCGCCAAGCUGAAGCACUUCUCCAAUGGAAAUCUGGUCUAAGGGGCGAUCUCUCCUACUGCGGGCUAGAGGAAUGGAGCAACGCAACCAGUUGCAUAUACUGCAGCUACAAGGUGCGCCGUGGCCAUGAGCGUGAUGCCAUCCUAGUUGUGACAAACAUUACACUUUUCUCAUGUAACAUCUCCGGUGGUUUGAGCAAGCUCCGAUUUGCACAAUUGCCUCAUCUUGUCUUUCUCGACCUUAGCAUUAACUCUCUCUAUGGACCAAUUCCGUCUGAUAUUGGUCGUCUUGCUGAGCUCUCUUACUUGGAUCUCUCUAACAAUAUGCUCACUGGAUCCAUCCCGCCAUCGAUAGGUAAUCUUACGAACCUAGGAUUCCUUGAGCUUUCUAGCAAUUAUUUGUCACAAGGGAUACUCAGUUGCUUGCCUGACACAUUACAUAACUUGCAGUACCUUGAUUUAAGCCACAACAGCUUAACUGGCCCAAUACCUUCCAAUCUAAGCAGCAAUCAGUUUACGGGAAGCAUUCCACCUCAGAUAGGACAGUGUCACAAUUUGUCCUCGUUGCGCCUGCGAAACAACUUACUGACAGGACCAAUACCAGAAGAGCUUGGGUAUUGUACCGACCUAACUGAGUUGGAUUUGAGCAGAAAUAAUUUAAGUGGUGCCAUACCAAUGACUUUCAUGAUGCUUUACCGAUUACUUGAGCUGAAUUUAUCAUACAACAGUUUGGGCGGCAGAUUUUUUGGUUUCUACACAACUGAAGCCUCUUCUGUAGUUUCACUAGACCAUAAUACAGGUAUCUGUGGUGAUCCAUUAUAUGGCUUGACACCAUGUCAACCAUCAAAUCCAAAUCCUGACAGUUUACAUACAAAUGAAAAUUCCGACAGUAAACAUCUUGUUCCGAGGCUACUUCUUGCCUUUGCAAUGUUUUCUUGCAUCUGGCUCGUGGGUGGAAGCAUCACAGUG
rnacentral:lncRNA from 1 species